CAUGGCGAGCGCUGUUGGAUUGUAUCCAAACGAAGGACAACCUGCAAAAGAGGCAAGUGAUCAACAGCCAUGAAGAAUCACUAUGUACACGCUGUAGGUUGGUGGAAGAGUUGAGCUGGCACCUGCUUUUCUCAUGCUCAAUCACUGCAAAGAUCUGGUAUGACUGUUAUGCUUAGAGUGGGAUUUAGGAUUUCCACGGUAUUAUCGUCAACACCACGGGGGCACCUUUAACAAUUCCCAUUGCUCGGUCGAAAACUUGCCAUUUGGAUGGCAAUCAUCUGCUCCUUGCUCCUUAUGGCUGGUGUGAAACAGAAAAUAUUUCAAUUGUGCUUUAUUUAAGGUUUGUUCAAGUGGUAAGAGUUAAAGAACAUAAGGGCUGAGUGAGAUGAAGGGUUCAAGGUUUGAACCAUAAAGAGAGACUAAUUUACUAACAACUAACAUUUACCUAUAAUUUUUAUUUAUUUGUUUGAACUUUUAAAUAUUGUCUCUUUAAUUUGAACCAUUUGAUGCAUGGAUGCUAUUGGUUAUGCAGGAAAGAAGUUAGUUGAUACUUGAUAGCAUUGUUAAGGAGAAGCUUGCAGCUUGUGUAAGCAGAUCUAGUACCAGUUCAAAAGAAAGGAGCUGAAGGAGACAGAGCCAAGGACUCCCUCUAUCAAUCACCUUAUACGUCAAAAGAAAAUCAGUCAAGAGUUUGUAUCAAAACAUUUUUUGUUUAUGGUAUCGCUUUCACACGGCAGGGUGAUUGAAAAGGUAUGGAUGCAUAUGAUGAGUUUUUGGACUAAAAGAGGUUGAGGUUCUUGUUUUGAUCCGGUCAGUUUUACACUUUUACUCCCAACGAUAAAUUUAAAAUUCAUUAUUAUUAUUAAAUAGUUCAACUGCAUGCUACUAAUGUCGUAGUGGAAUAGAUACAGGGGCGUAGCCAGGAUUUUCACGCCGGGGG